GAUGAACGCUGGCGGCGUGCCUAAUACAUGCAAGUCGAGCGAACAGACGAGGAGCUUGCUCCUCUGACGUUAGCGGCGGACGGGUGAGUAACACGUGGGUAACCUAGCUAUAAGACUGGGAUAACUUCGGGAAACCGGAGCGAAUACCGGAUAAUAUAUUGAACCGCAUGGUUCAAUAGUGAAAGACGGUUUUGCGGUCACUUAUAGAUGGAUCCGCGCCGCAUUAGCUAGUUGGUAAGGUAACGGCUUACCAAGGCAACGAUGCGUAGCCGACCUGAGAGGGUGAUCAGCCACACUGGAACUGAGACACGGUCCAGACUCCUACGGGAGGCAGCAGUAGGGAAUCUUCCGCAAUGGGCGAAAGCCUGACGGAGCCACGCCGCGUGAGUGAUGAAGGUCUUCGGAUCGUAAACCUCUGUUAUUAGGGAAGAACAAAUGUGUACGUAACUAUGCACGUCUUGACGGUACCUAAUCAGAAAGCCCCGGCUAACUACGUG
rnacentral:rRNA from 1 species